rnacentral:rRNA from 1 species
CACGUAGGGUGCAAGCGUUGUCCGGAAUUAUUGGGCGUAAAGGGCUCGUAGGCGGUCCGUCACGUCGGGAGUGAAAACUCGGGGCUUAACCCCGAGCCUGCUUUCGAUACGGGCGGACUAGAGGUAGGUAGGGGAGAACGGAAUUCCUGGUGUAGCGGUGGAAUGCGCAGAUAUCAGGAGGAACACCGGUGGCGAAGGCGGUUCUCUGGGCCUUACCUGACGCUGAGGAGCGAAAGCGUGGGGAGCGAACAGG